UAUUGGGCAAUGGGCGCAAGCCUGACCCAGCAACGCCGCGUGAAGGAAGAAGGCCCUCGGGUUGUAAACUUCUUUUAUCAAGGACGAAAAAAAUGAUGGUACGUGAUGAAUAAGCCACGGCUAACUACGUGCCAGCAGCCGCGGUAAUACGUAGGUGGCAAGCGUUAUCCGGAUUUACUGGGUGUAAAGGGAGUGUAGGCGGGACUGCAAGUCAGAUGUGAAAACCAUGGGCUCAACCCAUGGCCUGCGUUUGAAACUGUAGUUCUUGAGUGUUGGAGAGGCAGGCGGAAUUCUGUGUGUAGCGGUGAAAUGCGUAGAUAUACGGAGGAACACCAGUGGCGAAGGCGGCCUGCUGGACAAUAACUGACGCUGGGGCGCGAAAGCGUGGGGAGCAAACAGG
rnacentral:rRNA from 1 species